rnacentral:lncRNA from 1 species
GGAACCAGAAUUCCACCACAGUGUGGACAGAACGCUGUAACUGCCAUUAGAAAUGUCCGUGUUCUGAAUGGAGGUCUGACUCUACCAGGGACCCAGAGCAGGUGGCACCCAAAUGCAAAAUGACCAGUGAGUGAAUCAAAGGAAGGAAUUUGGAAAGAGUCUGCAAUUUCCAGUUUGCCUAGGGUAAGCAAAAAUUCCACAGGCCACUGCUGACUAAAUGGAUUAGCAAAUUCAAACAUUUCCAGGUUAGGGAGAGAGAAGAAUCUGCAAAUGAACUGACAAUGGAUUUAACAGGUUUUAGCCUGAGGUCACUUAAAAAUUUGAAGAGUGCUUGCUGAUGAAAUGGGGGCAAUCUCGAGGCAAACCGCAGUGUGGGAUUAGCUUUGCUAUUCCUUGUAGACCCCUGAAUCUCCAAAUUAUUUUUUAUUAUUUCAGCAUACUUCUAAUUGGGUCACUAAAAUAGGCACACUUCCUCUAAGAAAGUAACACAUACACACAGCAGGCUCGAGCAAAUCAAAUAUUCUGUUUUCUGUCUGGGGUUAUUCAAAAUAUUGAAAUAUGCCAUACUCAUGACACAAUGAAAAUAAACUGCAAGGGGAAAGACAUUCAAACAUGGCUCAAAAUGUCUAUACUCUGAAAGUAUAUAUUUCACAUAGAAAUAUAUGUGUUCA